rnacentral:rRNA from 1 species
UACGGAGGGGGGCUAGCGUUUGUUCGGAAUUACUGGGCGUAAAGCGCACGUAGGCGGCUUUGUAAGUUAGAGGUGAAAGCCCAGGGCUUAACCCUGGAAUUGCCUUUAAGACUGCAUCGCUAGAAUCGUGGAGAGGUGAGUGGAAUUCCGAGUGUAGAGGUGAAAUUCGUAGAUAUUCGGAAGAACACCAGUGGCGAAGGCGACUCACUGGACACGUAUUUGACGCUGAGGUGCGAAAAGCGUGGGGGAGCAAACAGG